rnacentral:rRNA from 1 species
GAUGAACGCUGGCGGCGUGCUUAACACAUGCAAGUCGAACGGAAAGGCCCAAGCUUGCUUGGGUACUCGAGUGGCGAACGGGUGGGUAACACGUGGGUGAUCUGCCCUGCACUUCGGGAUAAGCCUGGGAAACUGGGUCUAAUACCGGAUAGGACCACCUUUUGGAUGGUGUGGUGGAAAGUUUUUCGGUGUGGGGUGAGCUCGCGGCCUAUCAGCUUGUUGGUGGGGUAAUGGCCUACCAAGGCGUCGACGGGUAGCCGGCCUGCGAGGGUGUACGGCCACAUUGGGACUGAGAGACGGCCCAGACGCCUACGGGAGGGAGCAGGGGGGAAGAUUGCACAAUGGGCGCAAGCCUGAUGCAGCGACGCCGCGUGGGGGAUGACUGCCUUCGGGUUGUAAACUCCUUUCGCUAGGGACGAAGCGUUAUGUGACGGUACCUGGAGAAGAAGCACCGGCUAACUACGUG